UACGGAGGAUGCGAGCGUUAUCCGGAUUUAUUGGGUUUAAAGGGUGCGUAGGCGGGUUAUCAAGUCAGCGGUAAAAUCGUGGAGCUCAACUCCAUCCAGCCGUUGAAACUGGCGGCCUCGAGUGGGCGAGAAGUAUGCGGAAUGCGUGGUGUAGCGGUGAAAUGCAUAGAUAUCACGCAGAACCCCGAUUGCGAAGGCAGCAUACCGGUGCACAACUGACGCUCAGGCACGAAAGCGUGGGGAUCGAACAGG
rnacentral:rRNA from 1 species